rnacentral:lncRNA from 10 species
GUGGAGGAAACAGUGUAAGAAUGCAGGCUACACUGCGUGACCAGGAUUCCAAAGGCUACGGAAGUUCUAGGAGGGCAGCUGUUCCAACUGGCUGUAGCAUUCUGAAGCUUCCCAGAGGCUCCCCAGAGUGCAAGCUAACAGGCAUGUUUAGUUUCCCUCUGGGCCCCACUGACAGUAACUUGGCAAAACUGAAGUACUGACUCACAUGGUCUUAUUGCAAAUGGUGGGCUGGAAGUUCAGCUCUCCUAUUGCUCCACUGACAACAUCCCAGUGAAAGUGUGGCACCAACUUCGACCACCUUGAUGCCUCUGAUUGGGGAUGUAAGCUUGUCUCCUUGCUCAAUCUGCUGGGGGAACUGGAGCAUUGUCUGCUUCUAUAAGGUAGGGAAUAAAAGGUCAGCUCCCAGUCAGACCUACCAAAGUCACCCACAGGGAACUGGAGAGCUGCCUCCCACUUCCAUAGGUUAAGGGGUAGAGUGGAAUAUCAACUUCCUGGUUGGCUCUGCUGAAACUGUGCUGGGGGUUGAGGUUUGGGGAAUGCAGUUGUUCCAUCAGUGUUUGGUUGGACUAGGGAAGAAGCUGAUGAGGUUUUUCAUUGUUGGGCCACACUUUUUUCUAUUCUUUGACUCAGGAAAACAGGCUUUCCAUGGGUCUUUGUUUUGUCUGUGCCUAUUCAUGGUGCAGGGCUGCAGAAUUCUGUAGUGCCUUGUCCGACAUUUAGGAGGAAAUGAGGAAACUAGGGAAUUUACCACAUGUCAUUCCUCAAGUCUUGGGAUCCCUAGGCAGUCUGACUUCUUUCCAACUUUCAAAGUCUUCCUAUGCUUGUUUUUUGUGUUAUAUCCAGGUUUUUCUGAGAGGGCCUAGGAAAAAUGGGACUACUCUAUCUUGGUGGAACCAGAAGUCUCAAAAGGCCAUUUUUAUUUUAUUUUAUUUUUUGAAACAGGGUGUGGCUCUGUUGCCUAGGCUGGAAUGCAGUGUUGUGAUUUAGGCUGACUGCAACCUCUACCUCCUGGGCUCAAGCUAUCCUUCUACCUCAGCCUCCCAAGUAGCUGGGACUACAGGCACAUGCCACCAUGCCCUGCUAAUUUUUUAUAUUUUUUGUAGAGAUGGCGUUUCGCCGUGGUGCCCAGGCUGGUCUUGAACUCCUCGGUUCAAGCAAUCUGCCCACCUUGGCCUCCCAAACUGCUGGGAUUACAGGUGUGAGCCACAGUGCCUGGCCUCAAAAGGCCAUUUUUAAACACUUGCUUUAGUUUACCGCCUAGAGUCUCCUCCAGGUUGUCAAAAGCCAUGAAUCGUGUACUUUAUCAAUUUACAACCCAAACCUUACCCUGCACAGAUGCAUAAGAUAUAUAAACAGGUUGAAUCAAAUACAUAGGAAGACUUCCAGUUUCCAGUUUAUGUAAGGAGUUUGGAAGUCAUCACUCCAUUCUAACCACAAGCAAAAACUGAACAAACUCUUCUUAGAUUUUGUUUUGAGACAGGGUGUCUUUUUGCCUAAGCUGAGUGCGGGGGCACAAUCAUGGCUUACUACAGCCUCGACCUCCUGGGCUCAAGUUAUCCUCCUGCCUCAGCCUCCUGCAUAGCUGGGACUAUAGGCGCACAUCACCUUGCCUGGCUCAUUUUUUGUAGAGGUGUUUUCCACCAUAUUGCUGAGGCCAGUAUUCUUAGAUUCUUCACAGAAGUGAGGUCACAGGGCAAACUGCUGCCUCCUAAGCUGGGGGGUCAGAUAAGCAGAUACAGAGAAUUGCAACAUGCUGGAGCAUCAUCUCAGAAACAGAAAUCUCUGAGUGAAGCAGUACUCAUGAGGAAAACCUAAACUGUAAUUGAAGAAAUGCUGAGACUCACAGUGGACAAGUCUGAGAGUUAAAAACCCUAGGAUGGGGCAGUGGGGCGAGGCUGUCAUGGAAGCUUCUCACACUUGUGUGGGUUUUACCUCUUAGAGCUUUGGUAGGUUCUCACAGUGAAUAUCAGAGAAAAAAAAUCCAUGCUUCUGGAAGGAGAAAGGAAAAAGUUAUUUUGAAAUAUGCCAGAGCAUUCAAUGAUAAAGAAAAAAUUCUUGGAAGAGCCAGAGGAGAAAAGUACCUUACCUAUAGAAGAACAAAGGUAAGAAUUAUAUCAGGACUUCUCAGAAACUAUGCAAGCAAGAAGGGAGUAGAAUGAAGUAUUUCAACUGUUGAGAAAAAACCCUCCAACGUAGAAUUCUGUAUCCUGUGGAAUUAUCCUUCAAAAACGAAGGAGAAAUAAGCACUCUCUCAGACAAAUGAAAAUUGAGGGAAUUUGUUGCCAGUAGACCUGCCUUGCAAGAAAUGUUAAAAGAAGUUCUUCAGAGAGAAGGAAAAUGAUGUAGGUCAGAAAUUCUGAUCUACAUGGAGAAAGGAAGAGCAAUAGAGAAAGAAUAGUUGAAAAUAAAGUAAAAAACUUAACUUUUUCUUGUUGAUCUAACAGAUGAUAGUUUAUUCAAAAUGAUAGCAAUGAUGUAUUGAAUGAUUAUAGUUUAUAUAUAAAUGCAAAGAAUGACAGCAGUUAUACUGGAGGGAAUAAUUAGGGAUAUUUCAUUAUUAUAAAGUAUUUGCACUACCCAUGAAGUGGUACAGUGCUAUUUGAAAGUGGACUUGGAUUAGUUGUAAAUGUAUAUUGCAACUUUAGGGCAACUACUAAAAAAAGUUGAAAAAAGAAGUACAAUUCAUAUGCUAAGAAAUGAAAGACAGAAAGUGAAAUCAUAAGAGGAAAUAAUAGCACCCUGCACUUCUGUGGGGCUUCAUGGUUUAUGAGCACUUAAAAAAAUCAUAUAUAUAAAAAUAUGUGUAUAUUUUUAAAUAUAUGUGUAAUUUAAAAAUACAUAUUUAACAAUGUUUACUUCACCUACCUUGCAACAUUAAUAUAUAUUCUCUCAACAAUGUUGCAAGGUAGGUGGAGUAGACUUUGUUAUUGAAAACAAAACAAAACAAAACAAUGAAGUUUGGUUAAAGCUUCCUUUAUUCUACUGGACAUAGCAUGCUUAACAAGUAAUCAUGGAGCAUAAUUUCGCCUUUUGAAGUACAAUGACUUACAAGUUAUAGAGUCAGAAAGAUUUGAAUUCAAAUUCCAGCUCUACCACUUUAUCAGCUGUGUAAUCUUGGAUAAAUUACUAAUCCCCUCUGUGCCUCAAUUUCUUCAUCUGUUAACACAGGGAUAAUAAUCCAAAUACUAUUUAUUUUUAAAUUUUAUUAUUUAUUUAUUUAUUUAUUUAUUUAUUUAUUUUGAGACAGAGUUUUGCUCUCGUUGUCCAACCUAGAGUGAAAUGGCACGAUUUCGGCUCACCGCAACCUCUGCCUCCGGGGUUCAAGCAAUUCUCCCGCCCCAGGCUCCCGAGUAGCUGGGAUUACAGGCAUGCGCCACCAUGCCUGGCUAAUUUUGUAUUUUUAGUAGAGACAGGGUUUCUCCACGUUGGUCAAGCUGGUCUCAAACUCCCAACCUCAGGUGAUCUGCCAGCCUCGGCCUCCCAGAGUGCUGAGAUUACAGGCAUGAGCCACCACACCCGGCAUUAUUUACUUUAAAAGGUUGCUUUGAGGACUGAGAUAAUCCCACAUUUAAAGCAGAAUGCCUAGCGUGUUAUAAGCACUCAAUAAAUUGUAGCUAUUUAUUAAAACCAAAAUCAAAAAUCAAAAAUCCAAACCAAAACAAAAAAACAAACCUCAUCACGUUUCCAUAAUGAGGAAGUAAUGAUUCAGACUCCAAGCUUUCGAAAACAGGAAAGAUGCCUCUGUCUAUUCCUGUUUGGUUGUGUUGCACCUCACAUGUUACUUAAUAAGCCCUGGCAUCUCUGUAAUUUUAGAACUGGAAGGAACUUAAAGGUCAUCUAUUCCAAGCUUCUCAUUUUAUAGAUAAAGCAUCUGAGGCUGAGAGGGGUUGAAUGAAUUACAAGAUUACAGUGCUAGCACUCUUCCUGCUACAGCUGGUAAAGCACACCAACAGUGAGCAGGAAACAAACCUAAGAAAAACAUCCAGAUUCCAGAAAGGAAAAGACUCAGACAAUAAAACCUGAGAGAGCAGGUUUCAAAAGUUAUAAAUAACCCCCUAUAGGCUAAGCACCCAGGUACGAGGGCAGUGCCUACAAACUAUACUCAAGGAAGUCAAUGAGGUCCUCAUGGAAGUCUAUUAGGGGGUAACUUAACUGGUAGUCAACCAGACUAGAACUGCCCUGGACUUCAUGAGUGGUGAAGGCCACAGUGAGGAGGGCUAUGCCGCUGAGCAGAGGCUAUCUUCUACAAACAGUGGAGCUGAAAGACGGAGAUGGUGGACACAGAAGUGCAAUACUGUCAAUACUGCAUAUCCAAUCCCUAAGAGUCAGUCAUAAUGGCGAGCAAGUAUCAUUAAUCCAGCCAGCAAACGGGCCCCAAACCACACAGGUGACAUAAAAGAUGUAGAAAAUAUUCAGAUUAAGACUUUUUGCUAAUAGUUGUGCUUUCACCCAUUUCUUCAACUGGUCAUAGCAGCAAUUCCCAGAAAUGUCUCAGAUAGAUAUAUAUAUUUUACUUGAAAAUGAUAAAAAUGUGCCAGGCGCAGUGGGUAACUCAUGCCUGUAAUCUCAACUACUUGGGAGGCUGAAGCAGGAAAAUCGCUUGAGCCCAGGAGUUUGAGACUACAGUGAGCCAUAAUUGCACCACUGCAGUCUGGCCUGGGUGACACAGCGAGACACUAACUCUUAAAACACAAAACAAAACAAAACAAGAUAAAAAUUGAUUUGUUUAAAUGAGAAGAAAUGCUAUUUUUUGCAAUUCAGAAUUUCUUUUAAUAACACAUUUUGUCAGUUUACUUUUACUUUUAUAUUAGUUGUGAGCUAGAGUAGUCAGGAAAUUAGUUAGUUCUUUGCCAACCUCGCUGAUUCAUUUUUAUUAACAGAAUUAUAAAUGUAGUCCUUCUUACCCUUAUCUGAAAGUGUGUUUUGCAUAAAAGCAGAAGGUUUUUAAAAAUAUAAUUUCUCAAAUUUAAGAGAUGAAAUUUUUCCUUUUUCUAUCUUGUCUCUCUCUGGUUUCAGUCUUCUAAGAAUAAUUCAAAGUGAAAAUAUGUAUGAGAUAUGUUGAAUAAGCUAUAAGCUAGUGUAACAGCUAUUAAGCAUUUUAAAAAGAUGUCAAAAGCAGUUCUAAAAACUGUUUUUGUUGUUGGAGGAAUGUUAAGAGGACAACAAAAGCUGUUUACAAAAUAGUAAAUACAAUGAGAGCGUUCUUUCAUAAAAAUGUGCAUAUGAGUUUAUGUGUAUGCACAAAAAAGAAAAAAAUCUGUGGAAAUUCACCCCGAAUGUUAAAACUGAUUUUCUUUUUCUGGGUCUUGGGCUUUCAUGGGACUUUUAUUUCUGUUUACUUGUUUGUAUUUUCUAAUUUUCCUACAAUAAAUAUGUAUUUUGGCU